rnacentral:tRNA from 1 species
GGCGACGUGGCCGAGUGGUUAGGCACGGGUCUGCAAAACCCUCUACGGGAGUUCGAAUCUCCCCGUCGCCU